GAAGAAACCAGGAAGCAGUUCAUUCUAAAGGUCUCAGUGGGUCGGUACCAGUGUUCCCACCAGCAGUGAUCCAGUUCAGACGUUUUCAUCUCCACUGACUUUGAGGUGAACCAGGACCCAGAGUGUUCGCUGCUGAGAACUGCUGUAGGAAGGCAGAAUGGAUCAGUGUGAGGACAGAGAGGAGGGAGCCUCUCCUUCUAAAAUCAGAAAAAUGGAGAUGAAGACUGAAGCUCAGAGAUCCCAUCAGAGACAAGACUCUGCUGAACCUGGACCUGAACCUGAAACUGAACCUGGACC